CUCUGUUCCUUUAAUUCCAUUCCAACCAUCAUAAUGAGCCCGUCCUCCUAUAGCUCCUCCUACCAGCCUCCACUGAUAGCCAACAGACAGGACUGCAAAAUUUGAAGCAGGUGUUUUGGAAGGAAUCUAAAGCUGGGAACACAAUUCCAAACUGCUGAAAUCCUUUCACAAUUAAAUGAAUUACAUAAAGAUUAGGACGUUGUACGAACAUGAAGUUCAUUUGUAAUCAGUAUCGGUUUAACUGAAAAUAAAUGAAUCAGUAAAAUGA